UGCCAGCCGCCGCGGUAAGACGGGGGAUGCGAGCGUUACCCGGAAUCAUUGGGCGUAAAGCGCCUGCAGGCGGACCGCCAAGUCUUCUGUCAAACCUUGGGGCUCAACCCCUCGAAGGCGGUAGAUACUGGUAGUCUAGAGUGUGGCAGGGGUAGAGGGAACUUCUAGUGUAGCGGUGAAAUGCGCAGAUAUUAGAAAGAACACCGGUGGCGAAAGCGCUCUACUGGACCAUUACUGACGCUCAGAGGCGAAAGCUGGGGGAGCGAGAGGGAUUAGAUA
rnacentral:rRNA from 1 species